GAAGACUGUUAGCCCCUCCUUCCAGUAAAGCAAUACCCGGAUGUCAAUGUUUUGUUUAGGUUUUGAAACUGGUGUAUACUGCUCCUACUGCCACAUUGCUCUGAUUCAAUGAAUGUUUCACUCUUUUCAUGAUGCAUUUAAUUUGUAUUGUGUUGUUAAUUUUAAAAAGAAUAAAGAAAGUACAACACAGAGGAUUUGGGCCCUCUAUAACUCUGGGCCCCCCGCAUUGCGGGGUCUGGAGCAUUGUAGUUCUGCCACUGGUAAUUAGGAACGUUUUACCAGUUCUUCCUGGCGCAUCUAAGAUUUCUCCAACCCCGUUAUUAACAGUUUAUUUGAUAAAUGCCUUUCUUAUUUGAUCGUAAAUGCCUUUUUGCUCAAGCGUUAGCUUAGAAAUGUUUGAUUGCACAUAUGACAAAAGAUCACCCGUUGUAAUUUUGUACACGACGCAAUUCUACAUCGAACGAAGUAGCAGCAGACGGAUUCGGUGAUGGCAUUCCCAAUCACGUAUUUUCACGUGACAUAGUAAGUUACGUGAUGUAGUGAAAAUAUUUCGGAAGCCAUACUAACAAGUCUAUAGGAAGAAGCUCAGAAUUGAUUUUCGUUUCAUAUACAACAUAUCAAAAAUAAUAAGAGUGAAAUAUGCCAACUUCAUGUUCUGCUUAUGGUUGUACGAACAG
rnacentral:lncRNA from 1 species